GUCGAACGGUAACAGGUUAAGCUGACGAGUGGCGAACGGGUGAGUAAUGUAUCGGAACGUGCCCAGUCGUGGGGGAUAACUGCUCGAAAGAGCAGCUAAUACCGCAUACGACCUGAGGGUGAAAGCGGGGGAUCGCAAGACCUCGCGCGAUUGGAGCGGCCGAUACCAGAUUAGGUAGUUGGUGAGGUAAAGGCUCACCAAGCCGACGAUCUGUAGCUGGUCUGAGAGGACGACCAGCCACACUGGGACUGAGACACGGCCCAGACUCCUACGGGAGGCAGCAGUGGGGAAUUUUGGACAAUGGGCGCAAGCCUGAUCCAGCCAUGCCGCGUGCGGGAAGAAGGCCUUCGGGUUGUAAACCGCUUUUGUCAGGGAAGAAAAGGUUCUGGCUAAUACCUGGGACUCAUGACGGUACCUGAAGAAUAAGCACCGGCUAACUACGUGCCAGCAGCCGCGGUAAUACGUAGGGUGCAAGCGUUAAUCGGAAUUACUGGGCGUAAAGCGUGCGCAGGCGGUUAUGCAAGACAGAGGUGAAAUCCCCGGGCUCAACCUGGGAACUGCCUUUGUGACUGCAUGGCUAGAGUACGGUAGAGGGGGAUGG
rnacentral:rRNA from 1 species